rnacentral:rRNA from 1 species
GAUGAACGCUGGCGGCGUGCCUAAUACAUGCAAGUCGAGCGAACAGACGAGGAGCUUGCUCCUCUGACGUUAGCGGCGGACGGGUGAGUAACACGUGGAUAACCUACCUAUAAGACUGGGAUAACUUCGGGAACCGGAGCUAAUACCGGAUAAUAUAUUGAACCGCAUGGUUCAAUAGUGAAAGACGGUUUUGCUGUCACUUAUAGAUGGAUCCGCGCCGCAUUAGCUAGUUGGUAAGGUAACGGCUUACCAAGGCAACGAUGCGUAGCCGACCUGAGAGGGUGAUCGGCCACACUGGAACUGAGACACGGUCCAGACUCCUACGGGAGGCAGCAGUAGGGAAUCUUCCGCAAAGGGCGAAAGCCUGACGGAGCAACGCCGCGUGAGUGAUGAAGGUCUUCGGAUCGUAAAACUCUGUUAUUAGGGAAGAACAAAUGUGUAAGUAACUAUGCACGUCUUGACGGUACCUAAUCAGAAAGCCACGGCUAACUACGUG